UUUUUUUUACAACUCCGUAAGGGCUAAAAUCUAUAUAAUGUAUGUAUGAAGAUGGUAUUAUAAAUUUUAAAUUGAUAAACAUACAAUAUUUAUUACUUGUAAAGGGGAGAAAAUAUGGUUGAAGUUACCAAAUUAGUUAAUAUUAUGCUUAUAUUUCUUACCUUAUUUGUUGUAGCAUUGAGCAUUGACAAGGAGUAUACUGUCUGCUCACUACAUUCUGAUUGUAAAGCAUAUGUGUGUCAAUUACCUCUUAAACCAGAGUGUAUUCUGCUGGAAUAUGUUCCCCAUUUCUAUCGUCUCACUUGUAGUUGUGUUUGAGCAAUGUGACUACGUUAUAGUUAUGGAUUUUGUACUCUAAGAUGAUGAAGGAGAGUUCGCCUUCUUCUUACUUUUGUGUUGUUCUUCAUUCCAUGGUGAUCUUUUUAUCCUCCAAUUCAUAUGCUUCAUCAUUUUUGUUAUGACUUACGGUAAUAGCUCGGUGCCACCGCCGCCGGUGUUAGAUCUAGCGUUGAACACUGCAAGUCCGUACUAUGUUCAUCCUAACAAAAAUCCAGCAAUUUCUCUUGUUACGAAACUCUUCACUCCCAGCAAUUACCAUUCAUGGUCAUGAUUGAUGCACAUGGCUUUGAUCGGAAAGAACAAAUUCAAGUUCGUCGACGGUUCGAUCUUGGCUCCUGAUCCUUUUCAUCCUAGUUAUGAUGCUUGGGAGAGGUGUAACAAUCUUGUCCAUUCAUGGAUUAUCAAUUAUGUCUCUCCUUCAAUUGCUCAGAGUAUUAUCUACAAAUAUCUUGCUUGUUUCAGAAAUGUGAUUUUUGAGAGGGAUUGCGAGAGUUUGAUUAUGCAGAUUCGUAGUGACAUUGAGGAACCUAGAACCUAUGUUGGGAAUAUAGUGAAAGGGAUAAGAUAUCAGUGGGGGUUUAGCAUGGGAAAGCAGAGUUGUUUCCCAUCAUACGAAAGUAAAUGUUAGUUAUUAGAUUAAGUAAGGAACAUAUUCUUAUUAUACACUCUCAUCACUAGGUUUUUUUGGUACUAUCAUCUAUCAUCAUGUCUCCUUCAUACCAACCCACCCACCUCCGGCAUCAAAACCAUCAUCACAUCUGUAAUUUUUCUUCUUUCUAAGCAAACCCACAUGUAUUUUUUUCAUCUCAAGUCUGUUUCAUUUAAAAUCUUUUUCAUAAAGAAGUUGUCUUUUUCAAUUGAAACUCAUUCAUUGAAACCCAUAUCAUGAUUUGUCCUAAAAAAAAUCUAGGUUAUUAAGAUAUUAAAUUGACAAAGGAAUCUUCAUGUGUUCUUCAAAUGAAUCUUCAUCAUCUUCAUGUUCCAAAAAACAACUUAAUAUAACACUUGUUUAAUUAAAAAUUAAUUACUCAUCUUCAAUGUGUUCUUCAAAUGAUUCUUCAUCAUCUUCACCAAUUUUUCUUACUAAAAGUUCAGAUCUAAAAAACUACAACAACAAGAAGCUGUACAGAUCUAGAAAAUCACUACAACAAUAGAACCAACAAUAAAAGGAAGCUGUAAAAAUAUCAAUUAAAAUAAUUUUGAAAAAAAAAACCAUAAUGUUCAUGCUACUAUUUUGAUUACAAUUAAGAUAUGGAACAUGUGGUUUUGAUGAUGAGAAAAUUUGAGGUGUGAAUAAUGUCAAUGUGAUUGAAGUUGGAAUUAAGAUACAAAAUUAUGGAUGCCAUGUGAUUGAGAUACAAAAUUAAGAUACAUCAUUAUGUUCAAACCGAUCAAACCUCGCCUCUUUAGCCCAGACACGACACUCCCCCACCCAAACACUAUUCAAAGUUUGUAACAAUUUAAUAUUAUUUUUGACAUUAAAAAACCUGGCAAACCCAAAUUCCCGACCACGAGCAUUCCUAUGUCGUGCCACAUAUAAAUAAGAUAACAUCCCACAAACUUCAAAGGCUUGACGUAAUCGAAACAGUGGCAAAUUCUCCGGAGAAUUAGUAACAUAAAAGUAGGCUUUAUACCCGUGUUUAAUUGUCAGACAAAGCCAUAUCUGUUAAGUGCCAUUCUGCAGAAGCCACGCGACCUCCCACAAAGUUGGAGUUGCUUCCGUCAUUCCCAACCCUAACCUCCUUCCGCUGCAGAUCGAAGAAACCUUCCUUGAAACCUCUAUCAGAACCCUGAAAUCGAUGAUGUAUAUUACCUGUCGUCGCUUUCCGCUUCCGAGACCACACCACAAUCCAAUCUCCCCCAUCCCCCCAAUAUCUGCCACCCUGGCUGGACCCCUAUCCCCCGACGAUGUCUCUUUGCCGGAGAAAAGCUCCGACAUGGUUGCCCAUGGCUAGCUCUAGGGUUCCCGCCUCUCCUACUCUCAAAAUCUCUCAUCGCUCUUUUUUUCUUCUAGAUGAUUAACAAACAAAUAAAUAAAAACAUAAAACAACAAAUCUUCUUCAUCUUUAACGAAAAAAAAAACCUUCAUCAUUUUUUGUUUGUUUAUAGGCAUCCUGUUCCAAACAAUCCUCAUGUGUUCUUGUUCCAACUAUUGAUAAAAGUGCUUCAUAUUUUUCUUUCAACUCAAUUCAUUUCAAGCCCUCUCUUUCUUAUUCUUUUUCAAUCAAUGUAAAACCUCAAAUUAUGAAAGGUUAAUUUAAAAAAUUAGAUCUGAAUUUUUUUAGUAACAAAUCAAAUCUAAAAUUGAAAGUGAGCUUUAUAGAAACUAAUUAGAUACAAAAUCUAUGAAGGGAUGAGGAAACACAAAGAAAUAGAACUGUUUUUUUUUUCUUCUCUCAAUGGAUGGAAGAAACCCAAAUCUUAAACUGUUUGUUUCCUCCCUUUUGAUUUCUUUUUUUCUUGGCAUGACUCGCUCAUGAGUCAACUGAGUCAACUCAUUUCACAAAAAAAACUCAAUCUAAACUCUCCCUUUCUGAAUUCUUGUCUUCAAACUUAGAAAAUAACAAGCAGAAACCCAUAAAUCUUCAACCAAAUUCACAUAACACUUCAACUGAAAACAACAUAUUCAUAAAUUUAACACAAUUUCAGAUUAGAGAAUAUAAGGGGUUAGGGUUUUUCAAAUCAAAAUAACAACAAACAUGAGGCAAAAUUAGAGGCUACAUUCGGAAUUUGGAAGGGAAGAAAAUUAGGGUUUAGAAUAAAAAAAAUUGGCCUUUUGAUUUAUAUUACAAGUUGUUGGAACACAUGAUUUUGAGUAAGGAGAGGAACGAUGAUGGUGAGAACAUAUUGGGUAUGUGUUUAGAGGGAAGAGAAGGAUAUUGAUAAUGAAGAGAGACAAAUGAAGAAUGUUUGAGUUUGAUAGAGAAUUUAAAAAGGAGGUGUAUGAAGAAGGAGAUGGGUUUGAGAACUGGAUGAGAUUGAAGAAGGAGAUGAGUUUGAAGAUAAUGAAGAGCACAUUUUUUUAAGUUGUUUUUAAAUAUCUUUUUAUAAAUAGGAGGCCAAAAUCUCAGCUUUUUAAAAUUUAGGGAUUGAAAAAUGGAGUUUAACCUUUUAAAUAAUGGUAAUAAUUCUAAAUUCUAAAUGGAUUAAAAAAUAUUAAAAUUACAAAGUCAAUGUGCCACAUAGGCAAAUUCUACUGACAUAGGCUAAAUGAGGGACCAAAACCAAAGAAUUUGAUAUUACAAGGAUGUAAUCAAUUUCUUUUAAUAACAUCCAAAAUCAGAAUUGCUCAAUAUUACAAGGAUUAAAAACAGUAGUAACCCUUGUUUUUUAUUCAAAGAUGAUGAUGAAUAAAUGGAAAAAAAUUAGGUGUUGAUAGUUCACGAACAAACGAAAUAUUUUAACGCGAGAGACUAUUUUGACUAAUACAGUUCACAAUCAAGGACUAUUUUAGAAUUUUAAUACAUUCAAUGACCAUUUUUACUAUUCUUUAUACAUUCAAGGACCAAAAAGAUUAUUAGGCCUUAACUUUUUAAUGCAAUAGAGGAAUAAUUAAUGAAUUUGAAAUGUAACAAAAGUAGCUAUAGAUUUGCUAUAGGCUAAGUCUCACAUUAAAUCAAAACAAUAUUUCUCCUCUUUUUUAUUAUUAUCCUUUUCGAUCAUGAAAUGUUAUAAAAUUGGUAAAAUAAGAAUAACUUAUUAUGAUUGGUAAGUUUUUUUUUAUGUGACCUCUUUACUAAAUGCUCUGAAGAGACAAACACAACACAUGUACUUAAGAGUCACUUAAUUGUUAUUUUAAUCAUAAUAUAUUUUUCCAAGUCCGAGCUCAAAUCUAUAUAAUGUAUGUAUGAAGAAUGUAUUAUAAAUUUUAAAUUGAUAAAAACAUACAAUAUUUAUUACUUGUAAAGGGGAGAAAAUAUGGUUGAAGUUACCAAGUUAGUUAAUGUUAUGCUUAUCUUUCUUACCCUAUUUGUUGUUGCAUUGAGUAAUGACACGGAGUAUACCGACUGCUUGCAACAUUCUGAUUGUCAAGCAUAUGCGUGUGAAUUACCUUUUAAACCAGAUUGUCUUAUGGUGGAAUAUGCUCCCCAGUUCUUUCGUCUUGCUUGUGGCUGUGUUUGAGCAAUGUGACAACGUUAUAGUUAUGGAUUUUGUACUCUAAGAUGAUGGUAAUCAAAUGAAAUAAGAAAUAAAAUAAUAUUAUUUAGAUCCUUGUCUAGAUAUUAUUUCCCUAUUUGCAAUUGGUAAAACUUUAGAAGUAUGGGAUGGAGACUAAACAAUUUGUGGAAAUUUUAUAAAGAGAUAUUUAUAUUAUUGAAUUUGCAUAAUAUUAGUGUAGUUUAAUAUUUAACGGUGUUUUGCAUA